rnacentral:lncRNA from 1 species
UGUCUGCCUGCUUCAUAUGACUUUGUUCUGAAAAUAAAUUUGCAUAAAGUUCAUGCUGUAUCGUGAACUUCCCCACCUUAUGUUAUGUUCAUGUUUGUUUGGUUUAAUCAAAAUAUGGAAAAUAUAUUGAAGUCUUUGUAAUGUUUUACAAAUGGGGUUGAUAUUAUCAGCAGAAAUCUGAAUGAUUAAUUCUACAUUGAGGGUCCACCUAAACAUACAUAUUUUCAGAAGCAUUCAACCAUAUUAACUGAUGGUGGUCACCAACUUUAUAAACCAAACAUCACAAAAAGUCCUAUGACGUUAAAGCUUGUGCCCUUAUCCAUGGUAAAUUCCUGCUUCAUCUCCGUAAAUCCUAUGAAUAAUAUUAAGUAGAGGCAAAAGGACCCUUGUAAGGAACGCUCCUAGCCUUACAGAUAUCGUAUGGGCUUUGAGGAUCCUCAGGGACAAUAUUUGCAUAGUUGGGAGUGACUCGUUAUAAAUGAUAUCAAUCUUAAUUCCUAAUCUUGAUGUGGGAGUUUAUUUGACCUAAUACAAGGGGUCUCACCUAUUUCACUCUGCAAUCCCAUGUGAUAUAAUGAAGAUAUUGUGUCUCCAUCGGGUGUAUUUGUAAUAACCUAUAUCAGAUUGAUGACGUGAUAUGUGUAUGACCUCUUCUUGAACCUUGUAGACGAGUCUUAAAACCGUAAGGACUGUUUGGGUUCAAAGUAGACGAUAUCCAUAAAGUUGAUGGAGUUGUAUCUUUACGACUCUUGAGUCACAUUGAACUUUUCCAUGAAAUGGGCAGACUCUAAAGGACUCACUAUCCACUGUGCUGUAGAAAUGUAGGGUCACAUCAAAUCUGGUUUGUAAGUAGGGAAACAAUUGCUUGACUUGUCUCUCGAUGUACUGCAGAUCUGGUAAAGGUCCUCUUUCCUUCCUUUGGAGGACUGCUUCAGUGGGCUGUUGUUGGUUGUUGGUAUUUGGAUUUAACACUUAUACAAAAUAUAUAUUUUUGGGCUGCCGGAGCUCUAAUUUUAUUGAUGAAGAGUGCUGAAUUUAUACAUGAACUUGUAACUUAAAUGACAUUAGAAUAGCAGAAAAUCAAGCUACUAGAUGAUGAACAACUACUUCCUAUAAAAUAGAAACCAAAUCUUGACCAAAUAAAAAGAAGAAAAUAUCUAGAUGUUGCAGAUUUUGUGCAAGACUCCAGCUGCAAUAUUCAAAAUUCAAAUUCCAGCAAAUACUAAGUCAAAAUUCAACACUCCUCCUUGACUUCGUAGAUGCAAACUCCAAGUCUUGCACGUAGACACUCAAACCAAACUUCGAAAGGGGUCUGCUUCUUUAACACUUUUGUUGGCAAUAUGUUCAGAAAAUAUACUGCUCUACUUGCAGUUUUAGCCCAAAAUUGUUUGCAUUCCAUUUCAAGGAUGGCAUUUUUUGAGAUCCACCAAACAUUGUUUGCAUUCCAUUUCAAGGAUGGCAUUUUUUGAGAUCCACCAACAUCAGUAUGCACCAGUUGCAGUUUUUGGGUUGCUCUCCAGGAUAUUUUCUUUGGAAAGGGAAGUUUAGUUUGCUUCCCAUAUUGACAAGUAGCACAUAUAGGAAGAUCUUUUUCUAAGUCAGGAAGUCCUUUAGCUAUUUGAUUUUUCUUCAUGUAGAGCACAUCAUCAUGAUGAAAGUGCUCGACCCUUCUGUCCCAAAACAUUGUUGUGCUAUCCUGUUGUAAAAUAGCAGUAUGCUCAUCUUCCAGUAAAUUCAAGGCAAAACUCUUGCCCUUCAUUUUUAUGUUGAACACCUCUUUGCCUUCAGCAUCCUUGAUAAUGCAAUUCCUAUCUUCAAAAUAAACUUUAAAUUCUUUCUCAACGAGCUGUCCAACACUGAGUAAGUUUUGGUCAAUGUCAGGCACAAACAAAACAUCAUAAAUGAGUUUCAAACCUGUUUGGCUUUCGAUAGCAACCGUUCCUUUGCCCUUCACUGGAAUAUACUCACCAUUUCCAAUUUUGACUUUGGAAAUAAUUGUUCUAUCAAGUUCUCUAAAGAGAUCUUGAUUAUUUGUCAUGUGGUUUGUACAACCACUAUCCACAAGCCAGCUUUUAGAGGUGCUUUUAUUAGCAAAACACGUUGCUGCAAACAAUUGCUCCUCCUGACAAUAGUCAACUACUGCAUUAGUUUCUUCCUGCUGUUGAUUUUUGCAAAUCCUCUCCACAUGUCCUUGUUUACCACACUUGUUGCAUUUCACAUCUGGUCUCCACCAACAUUUUUGUGGAGAAUGAUUUGUCUUCUUGCAAUGAGGACAAGGUGGAAAAACUCCAUUUUUCUGGUUGUUGCCACACGACUUGUUGUUGUUCACCUUUCCAUUUUUAUGGCCUGCAUUUUUCUGCAUUCUUGCUUGAAAUGCUCCUUCUGCAGUAUCUCCUUGUCUCAUGAGUCUUCUUUGUUCCACAGCCUCCAAGGAAUGUAAUAAUUCUGUCAAGAUAAUAGUUGACAGAUCUUUUGAAUUCUCCAAAGAGGAAAUUGUAGCUUCAUAUUUCUCAGGAAGUGUAACCAAUAUCUUUUGAACAAUCUUCUCAUUGGAAAAUUCUUUUCCAAGCAGCCUAACUUUGUCUGCUAUUGAAAGAAGUUGUGCAGCAUAGUCUUUAACAGCAUCAGACUCCCUCAUUUUCUUCAUUUCAAAUUCUCGAAUCAAGUUCAUCACCUGCAUGUUCUUGAUUCUUUCAUCUCCUUUGUAUUCCUCCUUGAGAUACUCCCAAAUUUCUGCAGCUAAAUCAAUUUUCAUGAUUUUGAUGAAAAUUGAUGGUGAAACUGCAGCAAACAAGCAAGCUUUCGCUUUAGCCUUUCUUGUCCUUCUUUCUUUAUGCAACUUCAUUUGAGCCACAGUUGGAUUGGCUCCUAGGGGAGGAACUUCAUAAUUUUCUUCCACUGCUUCCCAAACAUCAAGUGCUUGUAGAUGAACUGUCAUUCUAACAGCCCAAGUUUCAUAAUUGUCUCCAUCAAGAACUGAUGGUGCAACUGUGAGACUUGACUCUUCCAUUGCUAAAUGAUUUUAGAAGGUGUUUGGGUUCACUCACCUCACUGGCCCCUCAAGAUAACUAUGGCUCUGAUACCACUUUGUUGGUAUUUGGAUUUAACACUUAUACAAAAUAUAUAUUUUUGGGCUGCCGGAGCUCUAAUUUUAUUGAUGAAGAGUGCUGAAUUUAUACAUGAACUUGUAACUUAAAUGACAUUAGAAUAGCAGAAAAUCAAGCUACUAGAUGAUGAACAACUACUUCCUAUAAAAUAGAAACCAAAUCUUGACCAAAUAAAAAGAAGAAAAUAUCUAGAUGUUGCAGAUUUUGUGCAAGACUCCAGCUGCAAUAUUCAAAAUUCAAAUUCCAGCAAAUACUAAGUCAAAAUUCAACAUUGGUGAGUGUCUUAUUUCAUAUGUUGCAGUUCAUAUCAUCAAACAUAUUAAAAAAUUUUGUAAUCUCAUCAUUUUGUUGUAUUGCAGGGGACACAUUCCCUGGUGGGUGUGCUUUUGAUGAGUCCAUUGUUCACCACAAGGUUGGUCUUCUUUCAAAUCCAUAUUACUAAAGAAACAUAUCCAGUUACUCUAAUUAUUUUAAUUAUUUGAAUCAGACUUAUGGUUUUUAUGAUGCUCUGCAGUAUCUCAAGGAAAACCCUGACGACCAUAAUCCUGCUUACAACACUAAGUAUGGGGUUUACUCAGAGGGCUGUGGGCUUGAGAAUGUGAUGAUGUCAUGGGGGCAUGAUGACUACAUGUACCUGGUACAUGUUUCAAACUCUGCCCACAUUACCUACUCUACCUAUAUCAAAUUUUUUAAUUGUUUUUGAGGUUAAGAGUGACAAAAUUCUAACUUCUCAUCUCUCAUUUUUAGGUGGCCAAGGAGAAGAAGACAACUUUACCUGCAGCAGGGCUUUCUGUUAUCAAAUACCAUUCCCUUUUGUGGUUAGUACAAAAAAAUCAGAGAAAUUUCUUGAACCCCAUUCAGCAUCAAGGCUUUAUUUUGUUAUUGAGUCGAGGGAACGAGGAAAUUUCUCUAAACAUAUAUCCAAUUAUACACAAAAAUGGUGAUUUCUUGAUGAAUCGGUCUUAAUUAAAGUGUUUAAUGUGGCUCAAGAUAUUGAGGAUCUGAAGUGGCUCAAGAUAUUCAAGUAAGAUUACCAUUUUUUUCUUUUACUUCUAAGUCCUAACUAUACCUUGCCUAAUAAAUUCUGAUGUUUAUUUUCCAAUUCCUUUCCUGUAUAUGCAGCAAAUAUGACCUUUACAGCAAGAGCAAAGUCCGAAUCGAUGUUGAGAAGGUUAAGCCAUACUUUCCCGCAAUGAAAAGGGUAGAACUACUCAAUUUUGUUAGAACCCGUUUGACAAUGUGUGGACCCCGCAUUUUCAGCUCAAUGUGUUUCCCACUCGAAUGGCGAGCUCGAUUCUUAUUUGAAAAAAUUGAUUUUAUUUAUUGUUUGAAAAAAUGACUUGGAGUCGCCACUUAUUUUUGUUUUAUUUUUAAAGGGUAAACAAAAUAAGAAAGAAAAACCCUAAGUGUGACUCCUUAUUUUGGAAAAGGCGGUCUGUGAAAAACCGGAUCACGUUCGGGGGUCAGGUUACUUAUCGGAAAGGUACGGUAAAGACCGUAGCACCCUUCUAAGUCCCUAAAAUCGGGUCUCUACUAAUAGAAUGAAGCUGACGUGGCAGUCAACAAGAAAAUCGAUGAAUAGUCAAAUCAAAUCAUGCACAAUAUGAGAAGCAAAACAUGUAUAAAGAAUGAGCAAAAUACGAAUAGAUGCGUACUUGGGCAGUAAUCUCAAAUGCGCUAUCAUGAAACAGGGUUAGUGAGCAAUGAACAAGAUAUAAUUAAGCGCAUAUCAAAUAACAGAAUAAAUCAAUCAUACAUGGCAAAUAAAUCAGUCAAACAAUCAAUUAGUCGUGAAGUCACGUAUGUAGGGCCCCCACCAAAGCCCAAUUCAUUUUUGCAUGAAUUAAUUCCAUAAAUUCCCUUGCUUGGAAUUACGGAAUUUUAUUCUAGCUUAUUUUAAAACAUUUUGAAAAGAAGGAGAUAUGGAAAUUAUUUGCCAGAAGGAAAGAUGACAACAAAAUUUUAUUGGAAAUGAGAUUUUUGAGUGAUCCUAAAAAUUCUAAAGAUGAAAAUUUGAAAAAUAAAUAAAUAAAUAAGAAUAAAAUAAAAUUAUUUGAAAAUCUAGAAAUUGGAAACUAUUUGAAAACGGGAAAUUUGGAAAUUAUUUUAAAAUUGAAGAUAAAGAAAUAAUGAGGAAAAUGAAGAAAGAUGUGGCCUAAAGGUGGCUUAUCAAAGGUGGCCACGCAUGGUUGGUUUGGUCUCUUCCAUUAUCGGUGAGUUGACUGGCAGAAAACUUCGAGUUCAGUGUCAUUGGGUUGGCAUCUGGACAUAGAAAAUGGGUGCUUGCCCACAGCAUUAGGGGUUAGCUGCUCUGUAUUAGAGAACUCUCCUUUGUGCUCCAACGACAUAUCAUUCCUGUGGGAAUCCUGUAUUUUUGAAGACUGGGUAGCAUUUUCUUCAUGAUGAUGGUCAAGCUUGAUAUUCAAGAGAAACGAAUCGGCACUACAGUCCUUCAUUUCAGCAUGAGAUGCCUCUUCCUGUCUGUUCUUAGAAAUGGAAAUCCUUGUUUCAAGGAGAGAAACCAAUGAACUAAGCCGCUGAUCCCAAACAUGUAGACCAAUGAGGAGAGAACGUCUCGAGCAGUUGAGUUCCAGAAUGUCUACUGCCACUUGACCCACCAUAAUCGCCAAGCUUAGUCAAUACCUCCAAGUGCUCGGUAAGAAACAGGUCCAAAACACUAAGAUAUGUCACAGUGUUAAAAAAAAAGACGUUGAAGAGAUCCUUGAUCAAGCCACUCCACCAGAUUCUAUGGCGAUAGAUUUCACCGAAGACAUGAAGAGCGAUGACGAAGCCAAUAAAGCAAAGGCUCGUCACAAAAACCACCAUCGGAGUAAUUUUCAAGCCCGGAGCGUCAUCGGUGUAGAACCGGAGCAAGUUGCUCCCGCUGCUGCCACUGUCGAACCCGUCAGAACCAUCACCAGUAUCCAGAGAAUGUUAGAACCAGCACCAAGAGUGGCCCAGUUCAGUCGGAAGUCCUCAUCUGUGGACAAGCUUCCACGGACGAGAAGGUUACUCACCUUUGUGCUCUCCUCGGCAGCAUUUCUAUGCUUUGUUCAGUAUCUGCCAAAUGAUUUACAUCCUUUUGGUUCUUCACCAAACUUCGGAAUCAGAAUACUUGAUGUGGACGCAAUCAACAGAGCAAUUGUAGCAAAUGCCAGUUUUCCUGCAUCGGGCUUGGCCAGAGACAACACUCUGCCAUCAUUCAAAGCGGUGGAAAAGAAUGCACCGAUCUGCUCGUGCCGUCUUCCAAGCCGUUCUCCACAUAUGAAUAUCCACGUUGACACCAUGGCAUUUUCUGGACCAAACCAUCCCCUGGCAGCAAUCAAGCGCACUUAACGCAUAGCAUGUAGCUCCUAUUGCGAACAUCUGUCAAACAGCAAGGCAUCAUCUAUUUCUUCUAAACGCGAGAAGUCAACUGAUUUUGAAUUUGAUGGUUCAUUUGCAGAAGUUUCCACUCGGGAUAGUUCCCUGCUGCAAUGGAGUUCUAGAGAUCCUGAGUAGCAUGGCUGUGGUUGCUUGGCGUUCCGGUGAUGACAGAGGCGCUUCGCCGCCGGCGUCGUUCGAGGACAGCUUUGCUUGCUCUUUCCAUGAACCGGUUUCUGUGAUUUUCAGGUAUUGAAAGAAUGAUCCCUUGGGUGAUGGUGGUGACUGCUAACACUUGCCAUCAGGAGGCUGCUGAAACUGAACAGAAGCAUGAACCCUCGCAUUGCAACUGCAUAUCUCAUGGAUUGCAUAUCCUUGAAUUGUCCAAGUUCUCUUUGCAAAGCCCCAAUACACCUUACUGAAUUGCCCUAUUGGAAGGGAGAGUAGAGGCCAGAGUAUAACAAUGAUGAUAGUAAAGCCAACACCCCAUUUCAUGAAACCAACUUUUACCUUCUCAAAAAAACUCAAACCAUGUAAAACACUAAAGAAACAGUCAACAUGAGACUGGAGUAUUUUCUUGAGCCAGAAAAAAAAACAAACAGUGAAAGAAGAAAACAGAGGACGAAGGAAAAUUACUAUCAUGAAAGAUAAAAGCCCAAUGAAAAUGUAUCACAAGAUUGACCUAAGGGCUCCAAACAGGUGGGGAUGAUCUGGAGAUCCUCAAUAUUACAAGCUUAAAACCAAACUAGGCUCAAGGUAGAUCCAGCCAUUUACAGAGGAGAAUAUCAAGAGUAACAGAGAGAAGCAUAACAGAGCACCAUAUACAAAUAAGCAUGUUCAAUCAAAACAAUCCUGUGGCCCUUGACGUCCACAGCAAACAAUAAAACCCUGCUCACGGAUCAACAGAGAAUCAAACAGAGAAUGAUGCAAGACAUAAAGAGACGGGAACAUACCAAACUCAAGGUAGAUUUACCUGAAACUAGCAAAAGACUUCUUCACCAGCAAGCUUUUUCUCCCAAGCUAGCUCCACUCUCUGAAUAUUCCUCCAGUAGCAAAAACUUGACUCUCAAGCAAAAAAAAACGUCUCUGAAUGUGAAUCUCUCCCCUCUCCAGCCAAACUCCAGGAAGGAAACCACCCUCCUCACCGCUCCUUUUUCCUAAAAGCACUCUGGUUCUCUCAGCUUGCUUCUCUCUCUCAGUUUGCCUUUCUUCCCUCCAAGAGCUACUCUCUGUAUAGCUUAUAGAAAAAAUCUCCUUGAAAACGGCAAUGGAGACUUCCCCUUCAUUCUGCUCUCAAGCUCUCCAGAAUCUCUCCGUUUUUUUUUUUUUUUCUCUCCCUUCCCUGAAUAUCCAGCCUGCCCCCUUUGUCAAACAAAGGAUCCCCUCAAAAUAUCUCCAGGCAGCCUCGCCAAAAGCACCACCUCCUCUCUGCCAGACCACCUGCAUAACGGAAUACGCUCCUCAUAUAUUCCUCUUCUAGAACCUUCCUCCACAUGUCAAAUUUCUAUUGGUUCCUCAAAUGCUCAGCUGAUUCCCUAGCAUCCAUCCCUGAGCUGACACGUGGCCACCU